UGCCAAUGAUGAUUCAGCCAUGCUAAUACUGAGAGAAAAGUGUUUAUUUUCCACUGAGUACAAAUUUCUCAUGAUUCUGAGGCAU
ensembl:snoRNA small nucleolar RNA U6-53/MBII-28